UUUUUUCAAUUUAUAUUUUAAAUAUGUUCUUAUAUAAUUGUAAAAGAGGUAAUAAUAAAUUUGUUUAGGGUUUUUUGGUUUCGGUAUAUUAUUAAUUUAAAUUCGAAUUUGAAUAGUAAUGCUCAAAUAAUUCAUGAAUAACACUUAAAUACUUAAAUAAAUUUGUGAAUUUGAAUUGAAAUCAUUCAAAAAUAUGCAUAUACCUGAGUCGGUAUUAUUCCUAUUUUGAUCACUUCAAUAAAAAAAAAUCUCAUAUGCUUGUUACUCCUUGUUUGUUUUCAUUAAUUUAUCUAUUUGAG
rnacentral:lncRNA from 1 species